CACGAGCCGAGCGCUGAGGACGUCGGGACCCCCCUGAAACGACCCGAACUCGACCCCCAGCUGCUGCCCCCCCCCCCUCGGGCUGGGGCUGCUGCUGAGCGGGGGGGACCCCCCAGGACUGAAGCCACGUGUGGGGCAGGAGCAGCCCCUCGAGCUGUUGGAUGAUGGUUUGGUCCUGCCCCCCCCUCCCCACCUUGAGGACCCCCCAGGAGGAAACUGAGGGGCCCCCCCCAGGGGAGCAACUGAGGGGGGGGAAAGGGGGGGGUGACACCCCCCUCUCCUCCUCCCCCUCCUCCCAAAAAGGAAAGGGGGGGGUCCCCAACUUGUCAAUGCAAGGGGGACCCCCCCAAAACGACAUCUCCCUCUGGGACCCCCCUCAAACCCCCCUCCCCAUUUUAAGGUGCUUUGAGGGACCCUCUUUGAGCCCCCCUCCAAAUUCCCACCCCCAACAACCCCCCCCCAAGCCCCCCCAUUUC